rnacentral:tRNA from 1 species
GGUUCCGUGGGAAAGUUGGUUAAUCCGUUCGCCUCACACGCGAAAGAUCCCCAGUUCGAGCCUGGGCGGAACCA